GAUGAACGCUGGCGGCGUGCCUAAUACAUGCAAGUCGAGCGAACAGACGAGGAGCUUGCUCCUCUGACGUUAGCGGCGGACGGGUGAGUAACACGUGGAUAACCUACCUAUAAGACUGGGAUAACUUCGGGAAACCGGAGCUAAUACCGGAUAAUAUAUUGAACCGCAUGGUUCAAUAGUGAAAGACGGUUUUGCUGUCACUUAUAGAUGGAUCCGCGCCGCAUUAGCUAGUUGGUAAGGUAACGGCUUACCAAGGCGACGAUGCGUAGCCGACCUGAGAGGGUGAUCGGCCACACUGGAACUGAGACACGGUCCAGACUCCUACGGGAGGGAGCAGUAGGGAAUCUUCCGCAAUGGGCGGAAGCCUGACGGAGCAACGCCGCGUGAGUGAUGAAGGUCUUCGGAUCGUAAAACUCUGUUAUUAGGGAAGAACAAAUGUGUAAGUAACUAUGCACGUCUUGACGGUAACUAAUCAGAAAGCCACGGCUAACUACGUG
rnacentral:rRNA from 1 species